rnacentral:lncRNA from 1 species
UAAACAGAAGACGGGUACUCGUACGGUAGGCUAAUUACGACCAUCAUCCAAAUACUCGGGGAUUAUGAUUGAUAAUCACGUCCAACUAAUCCUUUUUCAUUUGAUUGUUUUGUGUGAAAAAGAUUUGAAGCGUUUUUAGUUAAGUUUGAAAAGGACUUGAUAUUGAUCAAGUGUUUGAUUCGCAUUUAUUAAAAUUGAUUUUGUGGUGAAAUGUUUUUGUUUUGAAAAUUAAGUUGAUGUUGAUCAAGUGUUUUUUAUUUUUAUUUUGAAAAAUAU